AAAGAAAUAGUAAACAUACCAGUCUUCUCAUUUCAUGGGAAUAUCCUGAAUCUGCAAUCACGGCUUCAAUUUUUGAAUUGCAGAAUAAUUAGAUGCACUAUCUAGUGUAUAUAAGAUAUCUAUGCUCUAAUUGUAAAAGCGCGGCGGAAAUCUCUAAAUAGUUACUCAAAUCCCUAUAUAUAAUCCCUAUAAUACUAGCAUUGCGAACCGUAGAGCAUGCAAGUAGUUUUUAUUGAACAGAAUUUAUUAAAAAUGUUCUGCCCUGGUGAAAUCCUGCAAACCAUCUGAAACUGUAUUGAAUAUGUACGAAAGCAAAUACAGGAAAAUACCUUAAUACAAUCAGAUUUCAAAGAGCCCGUCCUCCCCAAUGCGUGAACUUCCCUAAUGAGUAGAAUGGAGUCUCUAUAAAUAAUGCAUUGACCAUAUUAAUCAAGCUCGCACAGUAACGGUGUUAUACCAGAACAGCGCUAGCCUACAGUAAAUCAGUGGUUUAAAGAGAAUAAAGUGGUUCAACAUCUUUCUUGAACCACUUUACUAUCCCAACCAGGACAAAACUCGUAUGUCCGAUUUGAAUCUCUGAAAUAGUAACGGUUUUGAGAAUGGCGAAUGACUCGACCCCUUAAUAAACUGUUCCCAUAAUGUACAGCAGUAAUACGGUCAGCUACAAGUCCUACUUCCAAUAACCAAUCAACUAGUUCGCUUCCACGGAAACUGGCUGAACAAUCGUUAAUACUGUAACUACUGUCCAAUGAACU
rnacentral:lncRNA from 1 species